rnacentral:miRNA from 1 species
CCGGGAGGAGGUGUGGGUAGU